rnacentral:rRNA from 1 species
GAUGAACGCUGGCGGCGUGCUUAACACAUGCAAGUCGAACGAAGCACUUUAUUUGAUUUCCUUCGGGACUGAUUAUUUUGUGACUGAGUGGCGGACGGGUGAGUAACGCGUGGGUAACCUGCCUUGUACAGGGGGAUAACAGUUGGAAACGGCUGCUAAUACCGCAUAAGCGCACGGUAUCGCAUGAUGCAGUGUGAAAAACUCCGGUGGUAUAAGAUGGACCCGCGUUGGAUUAGCUAGUUGGUGAGGUAACGGCCCACCAAGGCGACGAUCCAUAGCCGACCUGAGAGGGUGACCGGCCACAUUGGGACUGAGACACGGCCCAAACUCCUACGGGAGGCAGCAGUGGGGAAUAUUGCACAAUGGGCGAAAGCCUGAUGCAGCGACGCCGCGUGAGCGAAGAAGUAUUUCGGUAUGUAAAGCUCUAUCAGCAGGGAAGAUAAUGACGGUACCUGACUAAGAAGCACCGGCUAAAUACGUGCCAGCAGCCGCGGUAAUACGUAUGGUGCAAGCGUUAUCCGGAUUUACUGGGUGUAAAGGGAGCGCAGGCGGUGCGGCAAGUCUGAUGUGAAAGCCCGGGGCUCAACCCCGGUACUGCAUUGGAAACUGUCGUACUAGAGUGUCGGAGGGGUAAGCGGAAUUCCUAGUGUAGCGGUGAAAUGCGUAGAUAUUAGGAGGAACACCAGUGGCGAAGGCGGCUUACUGGACGAUAACUGACGCUGAGGCUCGAAAGCGUGGGGAGCAAACAGGAUUAGAUACCCUGGUAGUCCACACCGUAAAC